rnacentral:rRNA from 1 species
CGCCCUUAGAGUUUGAUCAUGGCUCAGGACGAACGCUGGCGGCGUGCCUAAUACAUGCAAGUCGAACGCAGCUUGCUUUGGUAAGAUGAGUGGCGAACGGGUGAGUAACACGUGGGUAACCUGCCUAUCAGAGGGGGAUAACACUUGGAAACAGGUGCUAAUACCGCAUAGAUUUCUUUCGCAUGAAAAGAGAGGAAAGACGUACGUGUCACUGAUAGAUGGACCCGCGGUGCAUUAGCUAGUUGGUGAGGUAACGGCUCACCAAGGCCAUGAUGCAUAGCCGACCUGAGAGGGUGAUCGGCCACACUGGGACUGAGACACGGCCCAGACUCCUACGGGAGGCAGCAGUAGGGAAUCUUCGGCAAUGGACGAAAGUCUGACCGAGCAACGCCGCGUGAGUGAAGAAGGUUUUCGGAUCGUAAAACUCUGUUGUUAGAGAAGAAUAGGUAGGAGUGACUUCCUGCCAUGACGGUAUCUAACCAGAAAGCCACGGCUAACUACGUGCCAGCAGCCGCGGUAAUACGUAGGUGGCAAGCGUUGUCCGGAUUUAUGGGCGUAAAGCGAGCGCAGGCGGUUUCUUAAGUCUGAUGUGAAAGCCCCCGGCUUAACCGGGGAGGGUCAUUGGAAACUGGGAGACUUGAGUGCAGAAGAGGAGAGUGGAAUUCCAU